rfam:Candidatus Rokubacteria bacterium 13_1_40CM_4_67_11 13_1_40cm_4_scaffold_32557, whole genome shotgun sequence.
AGAGUCGUACGGUGAAGGGCGAGCGACCCACACCGGCCCCGAGUCAUGCGCGGCCGUCCGCGAAGCGUUGACAGGGGUACGGGCAGGCCGGGUAUUCAGCCGCGAAAGAGCCUUUCUUCGGGACGCCGACGCCGUAGGAGUAGGCGGAAGGCCACAUCCGGGGCGUCGCCACCGCAAGACGCCACGGAGUCCCGCGCGGUCACAGACCC